rfam:Oryza glaberrima chromosome 9 Oglab09_0139_5, whole genome shotgun sequence.
AUUAAAUACAUCUAUGAGUUUCCGUGUCCAACUUUGAUCCAUCCGUCUUAUUUGAAAUUUUUUUAUAAUUAGUAUUUUUAUUGUUAUUAGAUGAUCAAAUAUGAAUAGUACUUUGUCUAUGGCUUAUAUUUUCUAUUUUUUUAAAAAAAAUUAAAUAAGACGGACGAUUAAAGUUGGACACGUAAACUUAUGGCCGUGCUUAAA